rfam:Schistosoma haematobium scaffold1982_4, whole genome shotgun sequence.
AUUCAGCCGACGAGUGCCAAAUAGGACGAAACGCACGUCUUGAAU